rnacentral:rRNA from 1 species
UACGUAGGUGGCAAGCGUUGUCCGGAAUUAUUGGGCGUAAAGCGCGCGCAGGCGGUCCUUUAAGUCUGAUGUGAAAGCCCACGGCUCAACCGUGGAGGGUCAUUGGAAACUGGGGGACUUGAGUGCAGAAGAGGAGAGUGGAAUUCCACGUGUAGCGGUGAAAUGCGUAGAGAUGUGGAGGAACACCAGUGGCGAAGGCGACUCUCUGGACCAGCACUGACACUGAGGCACGAAAGCGUGGGGAGCAAACAGG